UGUUUAAAAAACACAUGAGACAUUUAUUUUGAAAACACGAGGGAGAAUAAGAUUAAAAUAGCUAUCGAGAUAAUAGAUAUCGUCGGCCAAGAAUACACACGUCUAAGACUCAAUUGGAACUAAUUGAAACACAAAGGCAGAUAAGGGAGAAUUAAUUCGAAACUGCUCUGCCUUCUCGUUGGUCUCAGGGUCUCUUCGGUAAGAGAGAAUGUAAAACACGCCGGCAUUGUAACAUUUAAGUAUUCAAAUUGUCCUGUGUGCUGCCUCGCAUGGACAAUAGCUUCGAGCUCUGUGCGGAGGCAUUUAGAGGAAGACUUUGCUCGAACGCCAGCGAUUAAUUCCAGCGAUAAACAGAAGCCAGGGGCGUACUAACAAAACGUUAAGGACCUUAAGAGCAUUCGGUUAAAAGAUCUAAUUUUACGACAAUCAUAAACGAGAUGUUUUCUAAACAGCGUGAAGAUGAUCAUGUUUACUGACACCAUGAUAUGUACUAUAAAUAAAACUGUUGGAAGGUUUCGAUGUAAUGAACUCAAAAAGUAUAUCGUAUCUAAAUUCCCAUAAAUAAUUAUCGGGUAACGAUAUACUUCAAUAUAAAAUGAAUCAUAGUAUUGAAUUCGUUUACCUCAGAGAUAACAUUACCAUUCCAAUCUUAACUCGCUGGUAUAUCAUUAUUUAACUAUUCAAGUCUAUGACUCAGACUGCAAUUAUAAUCGCAUAGAGAUCAUGAUUUAUGCAUAAACGCCCAGUAAUUAUAUCGACUUCAGCUCAACGUCCUAUUAUAAAUAUACUUUGAAACCGGUCAUGUACCUAUAACCAAUAACACAAGACAUUGCAAAUCCUUUCAUACACACAACGUUUUACGUCCUUGCAUCUGAACCUUAAUGGGUGAAGGGUACAGCUGAUGGGCAGUUACGUUUGACUGGCAACAUACAGGUCCAGUUUCUCUCGUCUGUCUUAUUCGUUUAUGUUUGUAUAUUGCACGUGCACAUAUGAUUAUGAGUGUGUGUGUUUAUUGAACAAGAAUACCAAGUAAAACGAAUACCAAAGCGCCAAGCCGAUUGUGUACACGUGACGUAGACGAGAAACUCGUAGGUUUGCGCUGAAUACGGUGGGUUUAACGUCGACCUUGGAACGGUACAAUAACCUAACCUAACUCUGCGACAACUCCCCAUUCGUGUGCAGCCAUACGUGGUGCUGUGCUCUGUUAUUGAGAUUGGUGACGAGCAAAUGGUUUUUUGAUGACCAUUGUUGGGGUGUACAAAUGGCAGUGGACAUUAUUGAUGAUAUAAGGAUAAUGUAAAAUGAGAUUUAACGAAACAAACUGCAAUGUUAACCACAGAUUAAUUCAAAAAGUAAUUUAAAAAACGGAGAAUGAAACAGAAGUGCACAUGUUUGAUACGGUGUUAAACCCAACCUAUUCAAAAUGUAAUUUCAACAUUUUCAGUCGUUCGUUCAAUUCCCGUAAAUUGGCGGGUGACAUUGACCCUAACGCUGGCCAUUGUGUGCCGGUUCGGCCUAAAACGAGAGAGGAUCAACGGCACAGCAUGCAUACAAGGGAAGGACAGGCACGGUAUCGGCGUGAAUCACGUCGUUUACAACGCACUAUUUAUAAAAAGACCUUUGAAUCUUCUCUACGACUGCAAGUAAAUCGUGCGGUUACGGAAAUAGACAUCCGUAAAAUGUUGACGCAGAUCAGGAAUUAAGAACGUUUCUUAUUUUACAUUAUAACGCAAAGAUUAUGCAAUUUUAUUACCAAUAACGAUAGUAAGUCUACAAUUACUGAAGAGAUUAAUAGACCAAGGCUACCGAACACACCUUUCAAUAUAAAGGUUUUAUUAUUGAAGUCUUUAACAAUUCCUUUUUUUAGUGAAUAACUUAUAACGUUGAUCAGCAUGGUUUGUCGUUGUCGGAAGCAUAUUAACGAGCACCUAAUUUAUGAAAUGCGAACACUGUAAAGGAGGAGUUAUGCUAUGCGGUCAAUUGUCAUUGUCGUUUCGCAUACCGGAUGUACAAGACCAUCUGUGUAACACUGUUGGACAUCACUUACUGAAAACGACUCGUUGUUUCGUUAGCGUCAUGGAUAAGCCAAUAGUCACGACAAAUUUGUGGGGAUUAGAAGACCGACCGAAAUGGUAAAAUGUCAAAAUUAAACGUGAAGGUCACAUAUGGCAGAGCGGAGAGUGGUUUAUAUAUAGAUCGCGGCGACCUGAAAAGACCAGUUCUUGGGCAGCCUGUUUCAAAGAUAAGUUUUGCACGUUCGAGCCACGUUUCCACUACGACCAGAGGCGCCGCAUGCCCCUAAUGAGGACAGCAAAAAUAUCUAGAAGAACGAGUUUCUUUUUUUAAUCAUGUUCCUCUAUGUUUACGCCCGUUAAAGCAAAUUAACGGGCGUAUGAUAAGUUUUGGUUCCUAUUGUUAGUGUCUUAACUAAAUACGAUAAUAAUAAAAAAAUUAUUCUUAGAUUUCAUGUAAA
rnacentral:lncRNA from 1 species